rnacentral:rRNA from 1 species
GACGAACGCUGGCGGCGUGCUUCAUACAUGCAAGUCGAACGAGAAGCUGACUUCGGUCAGUGGAAAGUGGCGGACGGGUGAGUAAUAUGUAGGAAAUCUGCCUUUAGGAGGGGGACAACAGAGGGAAACUUCUGCUAAUACCCCAUAUGAGCGUAGCUGAAAUGCUAUUCUUGAAAACUCCGGUGCCUAAAGAUGAGCCUGCAUCUGAUUAGCUAGUUGGUAGUGUAAUGGACUACCAAGGCGACGAUCAGUAGCUGGUUUGAGAGGAUGAUCAGCCACAAUGGGACUGAGACACGGCCCAUAAUCCUACGGGAGGCAGCAGUAGGGAAUUUUGCGCAAUGGGCGAAAGCCUGAAGCAGCAACGCCGCGUGAACGAUUAAGGCCUUCGGGGUGUAAAGUUCUGUCAGUGGGGACGAAACUUGACGGUACCCACAGAGGAAGCACCGGCUAACUCCGUG